rnacentral:ribozyme from 1 species
UGCCCAGCAACUCCUAUCCCUACCUCCACGCGGUACCGGCCGGAAACUAUGAGCAACCUUAGGGAAGAUUGGGUAACCAACCCCGGUGGGAACUUUGGUCGUAGGCUGACAGGGAAGA